ACAAUAAUUGGUAUUUGAUGACUGAACGCAAGUUUAAAAUGAAAUAUAUUGUAACUUGCAAAGACUGUUGAAAUGGUGAUAUUUCAAAAAAUUUUCCCCUGAAAUGAAGCUGCAGACUUCGACUAAUGUAGGAUUGACACUGGCUUGUGUUUGUCUAAAUCAGGGGAUUUGAUUUUAUCAAGCAUAUUUGCUCCUGCUUGGAUACUUGUUCAGUCCAAAAGAUCUCAAUAAAACGCCCGAUUUUAUCGGUUUAAUUAUUCAAGAAUCGGCUAAUAUCAAGUUGGUGCUUAAAAGCAAUGGAAGCAGUCUUCCGCAAUUAUCUGCUAGUGCUAUUGUAGCUGCAUCGAGGAUAAAGGUGGAUUACGAGAUGCCUUAGGCCUGUAUGGGACGAAUACAAAUGAUUGUUCUUUCAUUACUGAGUCAAUAUGGAUCUACUUCAAGCUGAUCUCUGAAUGAGGAAUCUGACUGGAUAAAAGUUGCUCUAGAAUCUUU